GCUACAAUGGGCGGUACAAAGGGUCGCGAACCCGCGAGGGGGAGCCAAUCCCAAAAAGCCGCUCUCAGUUCGGAUUGCAGGCUGGCAACUCGCCUGCAUGAAGCCGGAAUCGCUAGUAAUCGCGGAUCAGCAUGCCGCGGUCGAAUACGUUCCCGGGCCUU
rnacentral:rRNA from 1 species